AAUAGUCAAUAAUAAUAAUAAUUAUAAUAAUAAAUAAUUUGUAAUUUGAUAACAUAAUAAUUUAUGACGAUUAUUAUGAUGAAAUUAAUAGAUUAUAUUGAUUAAAUGUUUCAAUUUGUAUAGCUAGCCUUAUCCUUUACGACUUACUGCUUAAUUGUGUAUUUAAAUAUUUCAAUCAAAACUGAAACUUAAUAUUUCUAUCCCGUUUCACCGCCUUGUAAACUAUAAUUGAAUAAUACAUUGUUAUUAUACUUCAAACGGUAGGCUCUACUCCGCAGACAUCGCCAUGACUGUAAUGCACGAGUCCAUUGACGAUCCACAGUUGGUGGCGGCUGCCAAUGUGUUUGUAGAUGACAUAAUUGAGACCGCCAAAGUCGAAGCAGCACAACGAACAAUGACUAAAUGCAAUGGAGGAUCUCAUUUAUUUGAAUCAAACAUAAAAAAAAUUAAUGAAUGGCAGAAUCGAGCUAAAGGUGUUCUUAGACGUUUUAUGACAACCAUAUGUGUAAGAUUUCAAGAUCUUACCUCCAAAUAAUGCAAAGAAUAAUGAAUUGGAAAAAAAUGGUUUACAAUAAUUUCUUUAAAUUAGUUUGACUGGAUAAGUCUCCAUAAAGUUACCUACUAUAUCAAACACAAUAUACAAAUUAUGAUUAUCUACAAAAAUAUGAUAUUAAAUAAUUAUAAUUUAAGCGCCAUUCAAACUAUUUUAGCAAUAAAAGAUUAAUAAGUGUUAAUGUUUCUUUACUAUUAAUACUGUGAACUUAGUGUUUAAGUAUAUAAUGUUGGUGCAACAUGUAUUUAUUAUUAUUUAUUUUAAUAUUUAAGUUAUAUUUGUUAAAAAAAAAAAAUCAUAUUGCGCACACAAAUAAUUAUUAUUUUGGAAAGUGUAUUUAAUAAAAAAACCUAUUCAUAUUAAAGGAAAAUUUAUUUCCAAAUGUUCAGAUUAAAAGUUAAUUUAUCUUGUUUAUAAUGAAAAAUAAUGUAUUAAUGCGUAUAAAAUUAUGUUACAGUUAAAGUAUGAAUGCCUAUUGGUUAAAAGUUAAGCUAAUCAUAUCACUUAUCAUUUGUAUAUUGGACUAUUUACAUAAUAAUACAAUUUCAGUUAACUUCAGUCCUAAGUAGGUUAUAUAAAUUAGUUAUUCAAAUUCAAAUAUGUUAAAAAUAUUUUUUGUUUUAACCAAAUCUACUCCAUGUUUGAGACAAUUAAACAACGAGAAAUCAAUUAAACUAAUAUUCAUAUUUUUUCCAUAACAAUGUGUCAUAUAGGUACGCAUUAUAUAAUACCAUGGGGCCAUAUAUUGUGUUGUGAUUAAAAUUGUAUUAUUAAACUGAUUGCAUAGUAAUUAACUCUGGUAUUAAAAACAAUAAAUAUGUAAACCUUGACUUUUACUUAAAAAUUAAUUAAAUCUUAAUCUAUGGUUUUUGAACAUAUUAUAAUAAUUAACAUUGUAAGUGAAUAUAAUUACAUUGAGCCUAAAAGACAAAAUUUUCUGUUUAAUAUUAUAUUUAUUAAGUGCUAAAACACAUUCUGUAUUAUUCUUUAUGAAUUAUGUAACUUAAAGUUACCUUAUCCCAAAACCCUUAACUUAAGUCAAUUAUGUUUAUUUUUAUUAUUUUACUUUGACAAUCAAAAUUAAUGUAUUAAUAUCAUAUUACUUGAAAUAUAUUAUUUCUAUGUCAAUGCGUACUGUAUUUUUAAUUUAGUUUUUUUUUGUUAAUUUGUUUGUUACGGCUUAAUCUAAAAUAUUACAAAAUUAAUUGUUAAUAAAUAAAAAUUGUGUCAUGGUAUCAUUAAUCAUAUAAAGUUAUUCUCAAGGAUUAAAGUAUGAGUAGUGUAAUAAUAGAAUAUAGAGUUCCAAUUGUAGAGCAUUUAUUAGUAAUGUUAAUAAGAGAAUAAAAAAUAGAAUUUCUAGAGUAUAAUUAUAUUUAUUAUUCUUUAGCUUUUUCACUUAGAAUUAAUGUUGUCAUUCCAUGUCAAAUGUGUUAUUUUAUUGUAAUGGUGUUUGUACCUUAAUAUUACUUUAAUAGUAUCAUUAGUUGAAUACCAUAUCAACCAUUUAUAAUAAUAAUUAUAUUGUAUUAAAAAUAUGGUUUAGUUUUAUUGUUAAUACAUUUUUGUAGUAUAGUUAGUAGACAUAAUAAAUAUCGAUUAAAAGUA